AUUGAACGCUGGCGGCAUGCUUUACACAUGCAAGUCGAACGGUAACAGGCCUUCGGGUGCUGACGAGUGGCGAACGGGUGAGUAAUGCAUCGGAACGUGCCCAGAGGUGGGGGAUAACGCAGCGAAAGCUGUGCUAAUACCGCAUGUGAUCUGAGGAUGAAAGCGGGGGACCAAGCAGCAAUGUUUGGCCUCGCGCCUCUGGAGCGGCCGAUGUCAGAUUAGGUAGUUGGUGGGGUAAAGGCCUACCAAGCCGACGAUCUGUAGCUGGUCUGAGAGGACGACCAGCCACACUGGGACUGAGACACGGCCCAGACUCCUACGGGAGGCAGCAGUGGGGAAUUUUGGACAAUGGGCGCAAGCCUGAUCCAGCAAUGCCGCGUGCGGGAAGAAGGCCUUCGGGUUGUAAACCGCUUUUGUACGGAAAGAAAAGGCUCUGGCUAAUACCUGGGGCUGAUGACGGUACCGAAAGAAUAAGCACCGGCUAACUACGUG
rnacentral:rRNA from 1 species